rnacentral:rRNA from 1 species
AUGCCCAACUUGUGCAAAUAUUACGAGAUACAGAGCUGUUACACAAUGGACCCGAUCCCCUUCUCACUUCAGGACGAGGCAGAGGAGACUGAGGAGGCGGAGGAGACGGAAUUCACAAAAUCAGACACGGAGGAGAUGGAGAUGGCGGACAAGUUGUUUGCUUUAGGGCGUAAAGGCUGGGAAUCUGCAUGGGGAGACGACUGCGGUAACUUCGAAGACAGGACCGUAUUGAGUCCUAUGCACUUUACACAUUGCACGCCGGGACUGAUCCCGUACGCUGCUCGCACUGUGAGCACCUUGCAAAUCUACUCCGUGAAGAUUGUUGGAACAGAUGGAAAGUUGAAGUUGCCACUCCAUGUUUAUGGGAUUGUCGCUGCCCGAGAUGCCGUGGACUACAACCGCAACAUUCUCUUCUCCCGGCGAAGGGAAAACUGCCAAAAACUCACUCCAGAGGAUCCCUUUUUGCGCUUGACUGACCCGUCCCGUGCAAUUGUGGCUGUGGACCAUGUUGAUUUCGAAGUCCAACUGAAAGUAAAGGGCUCAUCAAGGUCUCGCGACAGAGCAUUGAUGAGUCAUUGCUUUACUUACGCCGGUGGUUACCAUGAAGGUUUACAUACCACGUUCUCCAGCAACAGCUUUUGCACAGUAGAGUUUAGCUAUGAGCGACUUACAGAAACAGUCCAGGCUACUAUCUUGAGUGCGCGUGUUGUUGAAGGGGCGCCUUGGCCUUUUGAAUAUGGCGGGCGGAUUAUGUCCUCCUCGCCACCACAGGAAGUUACGGACUCCCUAUCCAGGCAAGUUGUGUUGGUUGAUUCUCAUCGUUCUGAUGAUGGUGGAGAAAUGCCAAUGGGCUCGGAUGGUUACAUUGAUCUGUCAAGGCAUGUUGUUUCUGUAGAACUUGAAGAAAGCCUGCAGUUUGUCAUACAAGCCUACUCACAGUCUGGUGAUGCUAUUGCUAGACAAGGUAGUGUCAGGUUCAGGACCAAAUACUGCAACAUAAGUCGAGCGAUAUGUGAGAUUGGUGACUCUAAGGUGGAGAUAACUGUCGCUUGGUCCCAACUUGCUAAGCACAAGAGGGAUAUCCUCUUAGAAGGACAUGUUUGA